rnacentral:rRNA from 2 species
UCCUACGGGAGGCAGCAGUGAGGAAUAUUGGUCAAUGGAGGCAACUCUGAACCAGCCAAGUCGCGUGAAGGAAGACUGCCCUAAGGGUUGUAAACUUCUUUUGUAAGGGAAUAAAGUGUAGUACGUGUACUAUUUUGCAUGUACCUUACGAAUAAGGAUCGGCUAACUCCGUGCCAGCAGCCGCGGUAAUA